UACAGAGGUGCCGAGCGUUAGGCGGAAUCACUGGGCUUAAAGCGCGUGUAGGCGGGUCGUUAAGUGUCCGCGUGAAAUCCCACGGCUCAACCGUGGAACGGCCGGGCAGACUGGCGACCUUGAGGUGCUCAGGGGCGAGCGGAACGAACGGUGGAGCGGUGAAAUGCGUAGAUAUCGUUCGGAACGCCGACGGUGAAAACAGCUCGCUGGGAGCAUCCUGACGCUGAGACGCGAAAGCCAGGGGAGCGAACGGG
rnacentral:rRNA from 1 species